rnacentral:rRNA from 1 species
AAUCAACGCUGGCGGCGUGCCUAACACAUGCAAGUCGAACGCGAAAGUCCCGCAAGGGAUAAGUAGAGUGGCAGACGGGUGAGUAACACGUGGGUGACCUGCCUUCGAGUGGGGGAUAACGUCCCGAAAGGGACGCUAAUACCGCAUAACAUCCUGCCUUUGAAGAGGUGGAGAUCAAAGCUGGGGACCGCAAGGCCUGGCACUGGAAGAGGGGCCCGCGUCUGAUUAGCUAGUUGGUGAGGUAACGGCUCACCAAGGCUACGAUCAGUAUCCGGCCUGAGAGGGCGGACGGACACACUGGGACUGAGACACGGCCCAGACUCCUACGGGAGGCAGCAGUGGGGAAUUGUUCGCAAUGGGCGCAAGCCUGACGACGCAACGCCGCGUGGAGGAUGAAGACC